UGUACAGCGGCCAUUUUGACAUUGUACAGGAUGAUGGCAGGAUAAUCAGCGUUAACUCGGAUCGUCAGAUUGCGCUUUAUGAUGCUGUAGCUCAAGCAACUGGCAGCAACACAGAAGACCCAAAGAAGGAAGCAUUAAUUCUACGUGAGAAAGUGAAAAAUGAGAUCCAGAAAAACUUUGAAUCGUACACACCCCUGCUUAUUCUCCAGAGAGGAUACGACUUCUGCCAAAAAAACCCUAGGAAAUAUGACAUAACUGGAGGAAGUAAAAAGGAGACGAAUGUUGCACUGCAGGAAUACUUACAGAGUGUUAGAUUCAUCAAAAGUGACAAACGGAUCCUUAUCAAAAUGUACCAUCUAGGAUUUGUUGGUGAAUAUAACAGUGUUCAAAGUGCUCGGAGGUCCAUUAAGAACAACACAGGAACGCUCAACACAAGCCAUAUUCCACCGAAGGACUCCAUCAGACUGGCUCAGACGGUCAUAGAAGACCCAAACUCAGGGAGUGAGAUUAAAAAUAAAAACCCAGCGCUUUAUAAACUGAUCAGCAGCAUAAAGACUGACAACAAUGGAUUGAACCUGAUUGCCAUGGAGGUUCUGGGACAAGAUCACAGACAAGCUUUGACUACAGGCCCAAGCAGCCGC